rnacentral:sRNA from 1 species
UAGUAAAUUAAGAACGGUUCUGCAGUAGC